rnacentral:rRNA from 1 species
CAAUAGCGUAUAUUAAAGUUGUUGCAGUUAAAAAGCUCGUAGUUGGAUUUCUGGUGGGAGCGAUCGGUCUGGCGCUUAGCGCGAGUACUUGCAUCGUCUCCGGCCAUCCUUGGGGAGAGUCUGUCUGGCAUUAGGGUGUCGGGCAGAGGAUCCUCAUCGUUUACUGUGAAAAAAUUAGAGUGUUCAAAGCAGGCUUAUGCCGUUGAAUAUAUUAGCAUGGAAUAAUAAGAUAGGACUUUGGUACUAUUUUGUUGGUUUGCGCACCAAAGUAAUGAUUAAUAGGGACAGUUGGGGGUAUUCGUAUUCCGUUGUCAGAGGUGAAAUUCUUGGAUUUACGGAAGACGAACUACUGCGAAAGCAUUUACCAAGGAUGUUUUCAUUAA